GCUCUUAGGGACAGAAUGCCUUUGGCAAGGCUGGACACUGGCAUGCGUGAACCGGGUGGCCCUGGACAGAAAGGGGGCCUGAAAAUGUUGUCGCAGGCAGCUCCGACCCUGGGGGAUGGGGAGAGGAAACCCAAUGAAGUUAUCAAGUUCUUGGACGUUUAUGAGCGCAGCUACUGCAGGACAAUCGAGACGCUGGUGGACAUAUUUCAGGAGUACCCAGACGAGGUGGAGUACAUCUUCAAGCCAUCCUGUGUGCCCUUGAUGAGGUGUGCGGGCUGCUGCGGUGAUGAGGGUCUAGAGUGUGUCCCCGGAGAAGUGCACAACGUCACCAUGGAGAUCAUGAGAAUUAAACCCCAUCAGAGUCAACACAUAGCAUACAUGAGCUUCUUACAGCACAGUAAAUGUGAAUGCAGACCAAAGAAAGAUGUCAAAGCUAAGCAAGAAAAGGACAUAAGAGGGGUAGGGUACAGCCUGCCUGCAGAGGGUGAUGAUUUUUACACCAUCCCGACCACCGCCAUGAUGAUAACGAACGUGGAGUGAAUGAAUGAAUAAAUACAUAAACAAACACGUACAUAAAUAAAGAGCAACCCCUUGUGUGAGCGGUUAUGCAGAACUGCAUAUUGCUGGGACAGCAUCUUUGCCAUGUGGCUGCACUGAGUUGAAUGAGGAAAGAAUGGGCUGGGGCAUGGGGAGAUAAAGCAGAAACAGAGAGAGAACACAUGCGCUUGAGAGAGAGAGAGUAUGCAUCUUCUGGUUGGCUUCAUAGGUGUAGCCACUUACCAGCCUUUCACCCAUCCCUGGAGUCUUGCUCAUGGUACCAGUAGGCUGAGUUGGGACUCACUUGCGCAGCGGCAGCCCAUCCAUGUGGCUCUGUGGUUCGAUGGUGUGAGAGCAUUGGUUCUGUGUGAGCACUGGUGCCAAUGGGGAGUGGGCGAGGCAGCCAGGCCUUUCCUCUCUGACUCUGUAGUGUCCCUGCCUUCUCUGACCAGGUGUGCAGCCCCUCACCUCCCCCUUGCUGUUUCUCUACACUAGGAACACUAGAGAUGGCCUCAAGUCCCUGUUAUGUCUGAUGCACUUUCUCCCUUGACCCUGGAGUUUACUUGCCCUUAAUGUCUCUCUGUAUUUCGCAAGGGUGUGGAAAUCUCUCCCAAAGGAAACUCCCCUCUUUCUACCACCACCACAUCAUGACUCUUGGUGUGUUCUUGGGAUGCUCCCUUUGCUUGCAGCUAGGAGAGCAUUUGGAAGGGAACUAGCACUCAGUUGCCAGUCACCUCAAAUAGGCUUGAACAGGACCCCCAAAAUACCCUGACAGUUACUCUCAGGUUCCUCCCCGGCUCUUUCUUCCCUAUCUCCCCUCUCCUACCCACCCAAGGUGGACUGCACCUGGGAAGGGAGGGAAAAGCUGUGCCACGAGGGCUCACUCGACCAAUAAACACUGGCCCUUCUCUAUGCCAGCUUACAUGUCUAUUCCUGGCCCCGGUGAUUGUGUGGCUGAAGGAACAGAGCAGGUUCUAGAUUUCUCCCUAGCUCUCUUCCUGGGCAUGAAGACAGGUGCUUAGUGCGCUUUAGCAUCCCAGCUUGCUCCUACGAACCAGGUGCAAUCAGUGAAUUAUUUUGAAAGAAGAAAGUGUCAAAUGGAUCAGUAUUUUGGCUCCGUCCACUUGCCUGCCCAGCAGAUCCAUGUGGAAAGGGUGUGGGGAGGACUGAAAACAGCUUGGUUGGCUGAGAGGGGGCUCCUUCCCCUCCCCCCUCACACAUCCUAACUAGGUCAGGGCUCUUAAUCCUUCCCCAUUCAUGUGAUCAAUUCGGAAGCUGCCAGUAGAUAGGUGGCAGGGGCUCCCAACCACUGAGCGGAGUGACAGGCAGGAGGCAGAAUGGGUGAACAGGUGAUUCAGGUUAGACGACCUCCUCCUCCUCCUCCUGCAACAUAGCUCACCUGCCUGCAUGAGUCACUCCUCUGAUCUGCCUGUGCAGCUGCGGGGGUGGCAAAGGGAGGUGGGCUGGGUGCCCAGUGCUGCAGGCCCUUGCUCCACAGGUGAGCAGGAUCCUUGGGUUGCCCCCGGCUGCUGUGAGGGUGGUGGUUGCAGGGCAAAGGGCUGGGUGGUCACAUGCUUCCAAACUUUCCCUCUUUGUGGCGAGGCUCACAUGGCAAGGCGCCCAUCCCACCCCACCCAGCCUAUGCUCCCUGCAUCUAACAGGAGGUGGCUUCCUCACCUGCUCCUUUCACAUGUUAACCCAGCGCUGCCGCUCAGCAUGGCAAGAGUCUUUGGAGUGACAACGUGUUCCUUGGAAUGUGGGGGAUGCCCUUGCCCUGUAGGGUGGUGCUAGCACUGCCUCUUCCCCAAGUGUUUUCCUUAUUCAAGGCGGGAAGGGAGUCACUUCAUUCAUGUUGCCUCUCAUCAAGCAUGGACUUACGAUCUGUUGCCAGAAAAGCACUUACAAGGCACGGGGAUUUUGUGGCACUUAAUUGUGUCUCUGCUUCCCUUCCCUGCCCCUGUCCCAUCCCAGUCUCUGAAAGCCCCUCUUCAGAGGAGGAAGGCACCCCUGGGACAGCUGCUGUUGCUGGUGAGGGUCCAAGCUGCCUUUGCUUUGAAGGGGGUUUCUGCAGCACUCCAGCCUUUGGCCUUAUCUUUGCUUCAUACGUGGCCCUAGUGUGGUGGUGCUGGGGCUGGUGGAGAGGCCAGUCAGUGUGUGUGGCGCGGGGCUGAACACAAACACAACACCUCACAGACCUGCUACAACACUGUGUGCUUCCCCCUCCUCCCAGCAGGCACAGGGCUGGGGCUUCCCUCCCCUUUCCGUUUUCUUUCUCUCUUUCUGUCUCUGGUUUUUUUUUUUUUGUUUUGUUUUGUUUUUCUUCCAGAAAAUCAAAGCGAGGAAAGGGGAAGGGUCAAAAGAGAAAGCGCAAGAAAGGCCGGUACAAACCACACAGCUUAUGUGACAAGCCAAGACGGUGAGCAGCGGAGAAGAAGGGGGAACAGCCCUGUUUUUGGAGCCUGAUUUCUCACCUGGACAGGAAAAAAAACACUAAUCCAAAUGAACCUUAAAAUGAAGGAUCGGUAGAGCACAGCACUUUCAGUACGGACGAUGGACUCUGGAAGGAACAUUCCCCAAGGCACCCGCCGCACAGAAUACACCUUUUGGUUUUGAA